AAAGCAACUCUGAAGACUAAUACAACUGACCAUAGCUUCUUUACUUUCCACCAUUCUCCUAUUUCCUAAUGAAACCUGUGCUAACACAGAGCAAGUGCUUGCACCCCCAUUCCCCACACCCAUCAACUGCUGUGGACUUCCAAGGUGGCUCCCAGAUAGCUGUGGCUGAUGUCAACAUCAGAAGGCCCAUCCUAGUUACAGCUCUACAAUGAUCAAACAUUCCAAAGGGUACAGAGGCAAAGUCCCAACCAUAAUUCUACAACGAUCAAAUUGAUCUUAGAUGUCAGGCAAGCCAGGUUACUCUUCUAGACUCCACUUUUACAUCUGUAAGGUGGGAAUAACAUUACCUGUUCCCUACCUGGUUCCCAAAGACCAAUAAAUGAGGAUUUAUGAGACAAUCUCCUAAGAGCUUCUUCAUCCAACAUGGCUUGCAAGGUCACUUUGAAUUUUGUUCCUGACUUGAGGUAUUUCUAACCACGAUGAACUUCUUGACAUCUGCAAACUUAACGGAGCAUAGAAGAGUAAGAAACUAAGCAAAGAAAUUAAGUGAUUUAUCCAAACUCCUACAACUACAUGAAAUGACAGGCAUUGAUCUAGAACCCAGGUCUCCUAACUUAGUACAAUGUUGUUUCCUCUAGAAGGCACUGCUUUGUCGAAUGAUUCUGAAGGAUGUGAAAUGAAAAACAAAGAGCCAAUUAAAACAAGAUUUUCUCAUAAAGUUCUCAAUA